UACGUAGGUGGCAAGCGUUGUCCGGAAUUAUUGGGCGUAAAGCGCGCGCAGGCGGCCUUUUAAGUCUGAUGUGAAAGCCCACGGCUCAACCGUGGAAGGUCAUUGGAAACUGAAAGGCUUGAGUACAGAAGAGGAAAGCGGAAUUCCACGUGUAGCGGUGAAAUGCGUAGAGAUGUGGAGGAACACCAGUGGCGAAGGCGGCUUUCUGGUCUGUAACUGACGCUGAGGCGCGAAAGCGUGGGGAGCAAACAAG
rnacentral:rRNA from 1 species